CCAGUCGGCUGGACGGCCGCUGCCGGUGGGCGGGCUUUAUGGUCAGACCCCAUCGGUGGAGGAAAGUCCGGGCUCCAUGGAAACACGGUGGCGGCUAACGGCCGCCGGGGGCGACCCCAGGGAAAGUGCCACAGAAAGCAGACCGCCAGGCCCGUCUUCUGACCGGCAAGGUAAGGGUGAAAGGGUGCGGUAAGAGCGCACCGCGCGCUUGGUGACAAGCGUGGCAAGGUAAACCCCACCGGGAGCAAGACCGAAUAGGGGUGGCCGGAUGCGUUGAUCGAUAGGCUCCACUCGGACUUCAGAAGUGUGGACCAACCGGCUCCACACGACUUUAGGAAGUAUGGACCACGAACAACGGCAUCAUGCCUGUUUCCAGGCGAGCCACCCGGGUUGGUUGCUAGAGGCGUUCAGCAAUGGGCGUCCCAGAUGAAUGGCCGUCGCGGAGGAUUUGGCCGGCACCCGGCGAGCCGGUGUUGGGCUAUCUUCCAGACAGAACCCGGCUUACAGGCCGGCUGGUGUA
rfam:Alphaproteobacteria bacterium BRH_c36 BRHa_1006839, whole genome shotgun sequence.